rnacentral:rRNA from 1 species
UACGUAGGGUGCAAGCGUUAAUCGGAAUUACUGGGCGUAAAGCGUGCGCAGGCGGCUUUGCAAGACAGAUGUGAAAUCCCCGGGCUUAACCUGGGAACUGCAUUUGUGACUGCAUGGCUGGAGUGCGGCAGAGGGGGAUGGAAUUCCGCGUGUAGCAGUGAAAUGCGUAGAUAUGCGGAGGAACACCAGUGGCGAAGGCGAUCUUCUGGACGGAUACUGACGCUGAGGCGCGAAAGCUAGGGGAGCAAACGGG